CGCGUCGCUUUUCGUACGCUUAUAAAACCCAGUUUUUGUGUAGAUUUCUGUGUACAAGCUUGAUUUCCUUGCUACCUAUCCGUGUUACCUCUGUGAUUGUGGGUGGUUGUUGUGUGCAAUUCGAUCGGGAGUUGCUAAUUGUUGUUCACCUGUAAAACCUGUAAGUUGGAUGAAAUCAAAUUGUAUGUUUUUCAACUAUUACUUUACAUUGAAACUAAAUGAAAAACUAAAAAUAACAUAAUUGCAGGUUACCAUGAGCGGUUCGAAUGUGGGAGCUACUAGCUGUGGAGCACACCCUAAAAUGAAACAAUCAUCGAAAUUAAACACAAGCACACCUUACCUCAGCGUCGGCAUCGUGCGUGAAGGCUAGAAAUUUCAUCCGGUUUUAUUCCAUGCUCCAAGCAUUUUUUUUCGCUUCCACCACAACUAAAUCAUACUUCCGUGGUUGAUUUUAUGUUUAUUCUACAAAACAAAACGUUUUUAAUGAUAAAUAUCAUAUAAUUUGCAUAAAAUACUUACAAAAUCA